GCUGGGCAUGGUGGCACAUGCCUGUACUCCAGCAGCUGGGAGGCUGAGACAGGAGGAUUACAAGUUCAAAGCCAGCCUCAGCAAUGGCGAGGCUCUAAGGAACUCAGUAAGACCCUGUCUCUA
rnacentral:sRNA from 1 species